rnacentral:rRNA from 1 species
CCGCCGGCGACCGGCGCACGGGUGAGUAACACGUAUGCAACCUGGCCGUGACAGAUGGAUAACCGGGAGAAAUCCCGCCUAAUACAACAUAAUGCCGGGAGGGGACAUCCCCUGCCGGUCAAAGGGGGCGACCCCCGGUCACGGAUGGGCAUGCGGCGCAUUAGGUAGUUGGUGGGGCAACGGCCCACCAAGCCGACGAUGCGUAGGGGUUCUGAGAGGAAGGUCCCCCACAUUGGAACUGAGACACGGUCCAAACUCCUACGGAAGGCAGCAG